rnacentral:lncRNA from 1 species
CUGUAACUGUAUGCUGCUCAGCUCUUCAUCCUGCUAAUCUAAGAUCAGCCCUCUGUGAAGGAAUGUGCUUCAAAAGCAAACAGAGAUGCCCUACUUUAAUUGCAGGAGGCGGAACUGAGAACGGUGAGUAUUAGCCAGUCAUCUUCUUAUCUUUGGUGUUUGCAAUCUGAGCGCUUCUCUUUUCUUUUUCUUUUUUUUUUAAAUCAGACUUGUCUAGUUGUAAGUAGGUUGCAGAAAACAAUUUUAACCACAAAGUUAUAAAUUGAACCCUAUCUUCAAGGAAGAUGCUCUCUGCUUUCAUUCGACAUUCGUGUCGUAACUUGUAAGAUCACUAUGAAUCAUUGUUCUCAAAAUUAGUUAAAUGUUACUCGUAGUGGCUUAAAGUGCGAAAUUAUGGCAGGACUAAUUAAAUAAAGGUGGUAAAUGUAAUUGAAACUCAGAAAAAAAGUUUAGGUUGCAAUUUUUCUAGCUGUUAAUUUGAAUACUAAACAAUCAAAUGUGGAAGUUUACUGUUUUAGAGGCUUAAUGUGAUAUUCGUCCAUGUUGUCAUAGGCUUACCUGUUAAUUGCCAGUUUACUGAAUCGUUUAUGUUCUUUUUUGUUUUUGCCCUUGUACAUUGCCCUCUUUGAUACUGUUCUGGGGCUCUGGAUCUUGUGAUUUUCGGGUGACUGGCUGUUUAGAAUCCUUUCUUGUUAUUUUUGUUGACAUUUCUACUUGAAAUUGGAGCAGGUUUAGAACUUUCGAUUUUUAAGAUAAAAAGGGUGAUCCUGAUCUGAAUCCUAAGCAAUAAAUCUCUCGAUUACACAAUUUCGUGCAGCCAAUUUAAGAUCAAUUGAAAAGCAUUCUUGGAAAUUGCUGCUACAAGACUACUUUCUUGUUGUUGUUGUUUAGACCAAUGUAGCUAGUUCUGUACCUGGAAAAUCAACUGACAUAUAGCUAAAUUUCGACCAUCUUAUUGUUGGGAUUUUGAAAGCAAGACUUACAGCUCCCAGUCAAUAUAUUGUCCUUCGCCAUUAUAUAGAAAUUUCUUUGGCAAAUGUCUCCCUACUGAGACCUGAUUGAAUGGGGAAACCUUAUGGGUACUAUGAGUGCUAAAAGGUUAACAACUGGUUCCUGGGAUGCCAAGACGCCACAUUUUCUGCUAGUAUAUCAUGAGGAAGUGUGUCCUGAGUAAUUGAGAUAGUCAUUUGUAGGGGUAAUGCACCUUGACAACCUAGAAUAAUUAGCUUGUCAUCCAGAGUUGUCCCAGGGACUGGGCCGUCACAUGCGAAUAAUUAGGAGAAGUCCCUUGACCCAUUUGAGAUUAGUUCAAUUUUCUUGGAUUGACCCCUUAAAUGUCUAAUUGUCAUCAAUAGAAUAGACUGCAAUGUUGUUAAACUCAGACUGAAUAGCGACUCAAUUAAACUACUCGGUCAAGGAUCAACUGCUUGGAUCGGUCAGACUGUUUUCAAAAACCCGCUAACGCUAGCAUGAUGUUAUAAUUUUUUUAUAUUUUUAUAAGAUUCAGAAAUAUUGAAAUUAAGUUCUUGGUUAUAUUUGACUAAUCAUGAAAAAUGUUCCAAAUAUAUUAGAGUUGCAAUCAAAUAUACACCUAAUAAUUAUAUACAAAAAUGUAAAUUCAUGGUUAAAAUAUGUCUAUUCUCCAAAACUAAUUAAAAAACUAAAUUAAAACAAAUUAAUGCAAGUUGGAAUCACUGAUGCUAAAUUAAGGAGAUCAUAAGGAUGAAAACAUCUUGAUUUAGAGAUCAUUUAGGAAAGCAAAUAAUUUUGAUAUUUACACUAAAUGGGUGACGUUUUCUUAUUCCCAUUAAUAAAUGAAAGUUUUACAAUAUAGGUAACUCAAAUUAUAUUUGGAGAAAAGAAAAAAGAAAAGUUUGAGAAUCGAGUCAACUAGUCGAAUCAGGUUACUAGUUUAUUUAGUUUUUGAUGGUUUUAACUGGUUUUUAACCAAAACCGAUUAUACUACAAAUCAGUUUGAAAAAAUCGGAUCGAUUGAACCAGCCAAUUCGAUCUGGUCUAACAACACUGCAACAGAGAAGCCUUCACAACCACAAGUGGUUCCCAGGAAAUUCGUCAGAAUCUCUCCUGUGGUUUAAUGUAAUGCACCUUUGAACAUGCAUAAACUUUUGUCUGCUACAACUCUAACUGCAGGGGACAGGGCCUAUCAUGUGUUUAAGGCUUGUCUCCUAAAGUGGGCCUUGCACUCUUACCAAGAAGUUAUGAAUUCCGAAUAAAAAUAAUUAUUUGUCUAUUGUGAACUAGAAGUAGGAUGUUAACCCAUAAAUGGUGACCCUUGGGACUAUGAAUGAUCCGACUAACUAUUCAUAUUUCUAGACUGGAACGCUUACUGAGACAGUUGAUCAUCCAGUUUCCACAGAGUUAUUGAACCCCCACCCCACCACACCCCAUCGAGCCAUGUAGCUUAUUAAUUUAGAUUUUGUACAGAUCUGCAGAUACCUUUAUGUUGGGAUCUUUAGGAAGAAGGAAUUGGCUACCAAGGAACAAAUGAGGCAAUUGAGGUAACAUUAUUGUUUCCAUUUUCCUGUUGCUUGAUUUUCUUUCAAUUUUCAUGCAGCUACAUAGAUGUACUAAGAAGGAAUGUUUAUCACUGAAGUCGAGACUGCCCUGUCCUAAAAUUGCAGUAUAGACGGUCUAGUAGUUGAGUGUGUUAAUCUUGGUUUGGGUAAUCUGGGUCCAUGUAAUAUUUUAGGCAGAUUCUGCAAUUCCUAUUUGUUAUUACAUCCUCAGGUUGACAUUAUUGUUGCAUGAUGAAACAAGUAUUUCUAAAAUUUCGAUCGUAAAAUUUCAGUUAUUAUUCUAAACGUAGACUCGUACAUAUCAUCAUUGAUACAAACAAAAUAAGGGGAUGUUUCCUUACUGGAACCAUAAAGUUUUUCAAAUUUUAUAAAACUAAAAUCGAAAAGUUUAGUGUGUUAAUUAAAACAAAACAAAAAAAAUUUUGAUUUCUUCCAUGUCUAAAAGCGUUGACCAUAUUGUUUUUAAUCUUAUCUUUUCAGCUCCACUAGUGUUUGGUUUGCAGAUCAGGUGAUGGGGCUUUGAACAUGUUAUACAAGGCUUUGUGUCGAAUUACACAGCGAAUUGGCUGACCCUUUUCUUUUUGGUUUGGAAAGAAAGAAAUAGAGUACCACCGGUAUUUAACUCUGCAUAACGUAAAUGUGUAGGUUGUGAAGAGGUGAGUAGUGAUGGGACUAAUUUUGGGAUCUGCUUAUAGGUCAUUUUUGCAUGCGAAAUGUUUGUGAUAUAUCAACAAAUACUGGUAACUGGACUUCAUUUGAGUGAAUUUUUAGACAUCGCAUUGGCCCCCUUUAUCAAAAUUAGCAUAUACUACCACCUUCUUGAACAAGAUUAUCCUCCCAAUUUCCCUAAGGUGUCCCCAAGCACAUCAAUUGAGAAUAUCAAAGGAAGAUUCUGUAAUUACGAAAAACUUCAAAUUCUAACGAAAUGAGAAUUUUUGGAUCCUGUACCUGAAAGCAAACGUAGGGAUUAAAUCUA